UAGGGAAUCUUCCGCAAUGGACGAAAGUCUGACGGAGCAACGCCGCGUGAGUGAUGAAGGUUUUCGGAUCGUAAAACUCUGUUGUUAGGGAAGAACAAGUGCCGUUCGAAUAGGUCGGCACCUUGACGGUACCUAACGAGAAAGCCACGGCUAACUACGUGCCAGCAGCCGCGGUAAUACGUAGGUGGCAAGCGUUAUCCGGAAUUAUUGGGCGUAAAGCGCGCGCAGGCGGUUUCUUAAGUCUGAUGUGAAAGCCCCCGGCUCAACCGGGGAGGGUCAUUGGAAACUGGGAAACUUGAGUGCAGAAGAGGAAAGCGGAAUUCCACGUGUAGCGGUGAAAUGCGUAGAUAUGUGGAGGAACACCAGUGGCGAAGGCGGCUUUCUGGUCUGUAACUGACGC
rnacentral:rRNA from 1 species